rnacentral:lncRNA from 1 species
UCAAUCCAAAAUUAUCCAUCAUUCUCUUAUUUUAGCACUGACUUUAUCUCAUUUUUAAAAAUUUAUUUAUUGCUUGAAAGGCAGAGGUGCAGAGGGGCAGAGAGAGGUCUUCCAUCCACUGGAUGGCUACACCGGCUGGGGCUGCUCCAAUCCAAAGCCAGGAGCCAGCGGUUUCUUCCAGGUCUCCCAUGCGGGUGCAGGGACCCAAGGACUUGGGCCACCUUCUUCUGCUUUCCCAGGCUGCAGCAGAGAGCUGGGUCGGAAGAGGAGCAGCUGGCACUAGAACUGGCGUUGAUACGAGAUGCUGGUACUGCAGACGGUGGCUUUACCCGCUACGCCACAGUGCUGGCCUCUUUAUCUCAUGGAAGACCUCGCGGCGCCCAUGUGGGCAAGGAUACUGGCAUUGGUGCCGGAGCUGGCGGCUUUGUGUGGCUGUCCGCGUCAGUGAGGCCGAGACGUGGAUGUGAUACAUUGACCCCGGUUCUCGUCCUCCACCUUCCUCCUCCACUGUGGGCUGCUCUGACCCCAACGCUGGUGUUGACCUGGGAGGCGGGAAGGACCCUCUUCCACAGCAGCUGUGGUGAUCCUGCGCCCGCCUGCUCCCCGCGCCAGUGUUCAGGGCCUCAGAGUUCCUCUUGGGAGCGCAAACCUCUGCCUCACACGCCAAGUGCAAGCGGUGGCUCCUGCAUCAUCUGUCGCUCCCGCACCGGGCAGCUCAAGCCCUCACCCCAAAGCCUCUUUGCUUGCAGCCCGCCUGAGGGGUCCCAUCCUAGGUCAAGGCUUUUCACCCUUCUGCAAAACCCUCCUGACACGAACUCCUGGCCGGGACCCCAGGCUGUAUGGCCAGGACGCCACCUGCUAACUCCCCUAUCAGCCAGUGCCUUCCAGGCCCUGUCCCUGGAGCCAUGA